rfam:Larimichthys crocea isolate SSNF unplaced genomic scaffold scaffold826, whole genome shotgun sequence.
AAGGUGGCCUAUGCUACUGCCAUGGACUGGUUCAUUGCUGUCUGCUACGCCUUC